UACGUAGGGUGCAAGCGUUGUCCGGAAUUAUUGGGCGUAAAGAGCUCGUGAGGCGGUUUGUCGCGUCUGCUGUGAAAUCCCAGGGCUUAACCCUGGGCCUGCAGUGGGUACGGGCAAACUAGAGUGCGGUAGGGGAGAUCGGAAUUCCUGGUGUAGCGGUGAAAUGCGCAGAUAUCAGGAGGAACACCGGUGGCGAAGGCGGAUCUCUGGGCCGUAACUGACGCUGAGGAGCGAAAGCAUGGGUAGCGAACAGG
rnacentral:rRNA from 1 species